rnacentral:rRNA from 1 species
UACGUAGGGGGCUAGCGUUGUCCGGAAUCAUUGGGCGUAAAGAGCGUGUAGGCGGCCCGGUAAGUCCGCUGUGAAAGUCGGGGGCUCAACCCUCGAAUGCCGGUGGAUACUGUCGGGCUAGAGUGCGGAAGAGGCGAGUGGAAUUCCUGGUGUAGCGGUGAAAUGCGCAGAUAUCGGGAGGAACACCAAUUGCGAAGGCAGCUCGCUGGGACGUGACUGACGCUGAGACGCGAAAGCGUGGGGAGCAAACAGG